rnacentral:rRNA from 1 species
ACUCCUACGGAAGGCAGCAGUGGGGAAUAUUGGACAAUGGGCGAAAGCCUGAUCCAGCCAUGCCGCGUGUGUGAAGAAGGCCUUCGGGUUGUAAAGCACUUUAAGUGGGGAGGAAAAGCGCUGCGUGAAUAUCGUAGUGCCGUGACGUUACCCACAGAAUAAGCACCGGCAAACUCCGUGCCAGCAGCCGCGGUAAU